CUAUCACCUACGGGGCGCAGCAGUGGGGAAUAUUGCACAAUGGGCGCAAGCCUGAUGCAGCCAUGCCGCGUGUGUGAAGAAGGCCUUCGGGUUGUAAAGCACUUUCAGCGAGGAGGAAGGUGGUGAGCUUAAUACGUUCAUCAAUUGACGUUACUCGCAGAAGAAGCACCGGCUAACUCCGUGCCAGCAGCCGCGGUAAUACGGAGGGUGCAAGCGUUAAUCGGAAUUACUGGGCGUAAAGCGCACGCAGGCGGUUUGUUAAGUCAGAUGUGAAAUCCCCGGGCUCAACCUGGGAACUGCAUUUGAAACUGGCAAGCUAGAGUCUCGUAGAGGGGGGUAGAAUUCCCAGGUGUAGCGGUGAAAUGCGUAGAUUGAUAG
rnacentral:rRNA from 1 species